rnacentral:rRNA from 1 species
AGUGAACGCUGGCGGUAGGCCUAACACAUGCAAGUCGAACGGCAGCACAGUAAGAGCUUGCUCUUACGGGUGGCGAGUGGCGGACGGGUGAGGAAUACAUCGGAAUCUACUUUUUCGUGGGGGAUAACGUAGGGAAACUUACGCUAAUACCGCAUACGACCUACGGGUGAAAGCAGGGGAUCUUCGGACCUUGCGCGAUUGAAUGAGCCGAUGUCGGAUUAGCUAGUUGGCGGGGUAAAGGCCCACCAAGGCGACGAUCCGUAGCUGGUCUGAGAGGAUGAUCAGCCACACUGGAACUGAGACAGGGUACAGACUCCUACGGGAGGCAGCAGUGGGGAAUAUUGGACAAAGGGCGCAAGCCUGAUCCAGCCAUACCGCGUGGGUGAAGAAGGCCUUCGGGUUGUAAAGCCCUUUUGUUGGGAAAGAAAAGCAGCAGGUUAAUACCCCGCUGUUCUGACGGUACCCAAAGAAUAAGCACCGGCUAACUUCGUG